rnacentral:rRNA from 1 species
UACGUAGGGGGCUAGCGUUGUCCGGAAUCACUGGGCGUAAAGGGUUCGCAGGCGGAAAUGCAAGUCAGAUGUAAAAGGCAGUAGCUUAACUACUGUACGCAUUUGAAACUGCAUAUCUUGAGAAGAGUAGAGGGAAGUGGAAUUUUUAGUGUAGCGGUGAAAUGCGUAGAUAUUAAAAAGAAUACCGGUGGCGAAGGCGACGUUCUGGCCAGUAUCUGACACUGAGGCACGAAAGCGUGGGUAGCAAACAGG